CAGCAGCCGAGCAGCGAGAGCAGCAGGCCGAGGAGCAGCGCGAGCAGCGCGCCCGCGCCCAUCACGCCCUUGCGCUGAUGCCUUGCGCUUGAUGGCAAGUUCAGGUGUUGAGGAGGCUGAGUGCGGUGGAGUGGACGCUCAUCCGUCUGCCCAGCCUGUGCCAGGGUGUGCCUUGCACGGAACCAUGCGGUGCGCCCCCUCCGAGACGGGCCGUCCCCGCGGAUGUGUGGAUGCAGAGUUCCCCUCCAAGUCCCAGUGAUGCUCUGUGCUGUGUACCUGCCUGUUUGGUGAGCCUGUCACCCGUGGAGGGACAUCUGACUGGUCUCCGGUUUCUGGCUGUUACCCGUAAAUCUGCUGUAAGCAUCUGUGUCCAGGGAAGCUUUUGUUUCUCUGGGGUUCGUGCCCAGGAGGGUGACCGCUGGGGCCAAGGGCAGCUGGACGUUAACGGCCCUGGUGCUGUGACGUUUGUUGUCUCUGCCACUCGACAGGCGGGCGCCUCGCCGUGGUGUCUCGUCUGCACCCCCGGCGGCCGGUGACGCCUCACGUCCACAUCUGCCCCACGGAGGCGUCGCCUCCUCGUCUGCCUUCUUUCCCCUGGGUCCCUCGGCCUGUGUCUCCUGGUGCAUCUGAGGGUUCUUUACGCAUAUUAGAGUCUAGUCCUCUGCCAGGCACUGGUUUGCAAACAUCCUCUCCCGCGCGGCAGCCGCCUCUCCUCCUCGUAACAGGGCCUCCUGCAGAGCACAGGCCUGCAGCUUUGAUGAAGCCCAGUCCAUAAUUUUUUCUCUUUACGGCACAUGCUCUGGGGGUCAAGUCCAAGUACUCAUUGCCUAGCUCCAGACCCUGAGUAUUUUCUCUUACUUUUCCUCUAAAUGCUAUGCCUAUUUUACGUAAGUCCGUACAGCAUUCUGAGUCAAUUUUUGUAUAAGGUGUGAGACGGGUUGAUGUCCAUUUUCCUACCUACAGACGUCCAGUUGCUCCAAGUACCAUUUGUUGAAAGGUAAUUUGGGACUUCCCUGGUGGCGCAGUGGUUAGGAGUCCGCCUGCCAAUGCAGGGGACAGGGGUUCAAUCCCUGGUCCGGGAAGAUCCCACGUGCCGCAGAGCAACUAAGCCCGUGCGCCACAGCUACUGAACCUGCGCACCUAGAGCCCGUGCUCCGCAACAAGAAAAGCCACCACAAUGAGAAGCCCGUGCACCACAGCAAAGAGGAGCCUCUACUCGCCCCAACUAGAGAGAAAAACCCGUGUGCAGCAACAAAGACCCAACGCAGCCAAAAUUAAAAAAAAUAAUACAGUAGUAAGUCUUAAAACCAGGUAGAUGGAGUCUGCCCACUUUAUCCUUCUUCAGAAUUUCUUGAAGUAUUCUAGACCCUCUGCCUCUCCGUAUAAACUCCAGAAUCUCGUGUACAUCUACAAAAACGCUUGCUGGCAUUUACACAGGAAUUGAGUUAUGUACUAUUUAUCAAUUUGGGAAGAACCAACAUUUCUGAGCCUUGCAAUCCAUAAACAGGGUUAUGUUUCUCCAUUUAUUUACAACUUCUUUUAUUCCUCUCAUCAGCACCUUAUAAUUUUAAGCAUAUAAAUCCUAUAAAUGUUUUGUUAGACGUAUACCUAAGCAUUUCAUUUCUGAGCAACUGUAACUGUAAUUGUGUAAUUGUAGUUGUGUCAAUGUCUUCAUUACUAGUCUACAAAAAUACAGUUGAUUUUUGUACAUUUAUAUGGUAUCCUGCAAUCUCGCUAAACUCACUUAUUAAUGCUAGAAUUUUGAGGGGUACAUUUAGAUUUUGGACAACUUUGUCAUCUGCAGGGUCAGUCGUAUUUCUCCCUUUUCAAUGUGCGUGCUUUCUUUUCUUUUCUUGCCGUAUCUCACUGGCUACACCUCCAGGACUGUGAUGAGAGCGCUGAGAUGAGAUACCCCUGCCCUGCUCCUCACCUGAGGAGACGGCGCUCCGUGCAGCCCGCGCCACCGCGCACGAUGCUGGUGCUGGGAGUGUGCAGAUGCGCUCCAUCACGUCGCGGUGCUUCUCCUCCCUCUUACUUUUUGAGAAUUUGGUCAUGAGUGGAUGCAAAAUAUUACCAGGUCCUUUUCCUGCUCUGAUGUGACCAUGUGGGUUUAACAUGGUGAAUGACACAGACUGAAUUUCAAAUGUGGAACGAGCCUUUGGUCAUCAACUUCUGUGGGGAGAGGAGAUUCUAUCUGCUAAUAUUCAGUUAAGAAUAUUCAUAUAUAUGUGUUCUUUUUUGGGGGGGAGGGUACUGUCUUUGGUUUUGGUAUCAGGGUAACAUUAACUUCAUAAGAUGAACUGGGAAGUAUUCCAGCCUCUUCCAUUUUCUGGGAAAAAAAUCAUGCAGAAUCGGUUUUGAUUAACUUUUCUUUAAAUGUUGGAUAAAAUUCUC